rnacentral:rRNA from 1 species
CAAAAACAUAGCUAAAUGUUUUAAAUAUUUAGUUGUUUCUGCUCAAUGGUUAAACUAAAUAGCCGCAGUACCCUGACUGUGCAAAGGUAGCAUAAUCAUUUGGCUUAUAAUUGAAGUCUGGCAUGAAUGAAUUAACGGGUAAACACUGUCUUUCAAAGCAACUAAGAAGUUACUUAGUAGGUGAAAAUUCCUACAGGUAAAUAAUAGACGAGAAGACCCUAGAAAUUUUAUAUAAGUUAAUCUGUAUAUUAAUAUUAUUUUGUUGGGGCGACAGAAUAACACGUAACUUAUUUUAUUUAAUUAGAACUAAUUGAUGUGAGAAAUUAAAUUACUCUAGGGAUAACAGCAUAAUUUAUUAAAGUUUGUGACCUCGAUGUUGGACUAGGGAUUAUAGCACCCAGAAGGUAUUAUAACAGGCUCUGUUCGAGCCUUGACCCCUACGUGAUCU